ACACAUGCAAGUCGAGGGGUAACAGGAGAGAAUUUCGGUUUUCUUGCUGACGACCGGCGCACGGGUGAGUAACGCGUAUGCAACCUACCUUUUACAGGGGGAUAGCUUUCGGAAACGGAAAUUAAUAUCCCAUAACGCUGCACUGUGGCAUCACAGAGCAGUUAAAACUCCGGUGGUAAAAGAUGGGCAUGCGUAACAUUAGCUAGUUGGUAAGGUAACGGCUUACCAAGGCUACGAUGUUUAGGGGACCUGAGAGGGUGAUCCCCCACACUGGUACUGAGACACGGACCAGACUCCUACGGGAGGCAGCAGUGAGGAAUAUUGGUCAAUGGGCGCAAGCCUGAACCAGCCAUCCCGCGUGCAGGAAGACGGCCCUAUGGGUUGUAAACUGCUUUUCUGAAGGAAGAAUAGUUUCUACGUGUAGAGAUUUGACGGUACUUCAGGAAUAAGCAUCGGCUAACUCCGUGCCAGCAGCCGCGGUAAUACGGAGGAUGCAAGCGUUAUCCGGAUUCAUUGGGUUUAAAGGGUGCGUAGGCGGGCUAAUAAGUCAGUGGUGAAAUCUCUCGGCUCAACCGGGAAACUGCCAUUGAUACUGUUAGUCUUGAGUUCGGCUGAGGUAGGCGGAAUGUGUAAUGUAGCGGUGAAAUGCUUAGAUAUUACACAGAACACCAAUUGCGUAGGCAGCUUACUAGACCGACACUGACGCUGAGGCACGAAAGCGUGGGGAGCGAACAGGAUUAGAUACCCUGGUAGUCCACGCCGUAUACUAUGAUUACUCGUUGUUGGCGAUACACAGUCAGCGACCAAGCGAAAGCGAUAAGUAAUCCACCUGGGGGAGUAACACAUGCAAACACAUGCAAACACAUGCAA
rnacentral:rRNA from 1 species